rnacentral:rRNA from 1 species
GGUUCUCGCACUCGCCGACGUGUUCGUGUCGAGCGUCGGGCACAUGCUCGUCUUCCCUUUCCUCGCGUUCUACGCCACCGCCAGAUUCGAUGUCGGGAUGACGCAAGUCGGGCUCCUGUUCACGGCGAUGGCGGU